UACGUAGGGUCCAAGCGUUAAUCGGAAUUACUGGGCGUAAAGCGUGCGCAGGCGGUUCGCAAAGACAGGUGUGAAAUCCCCGGGCUUAACCUGGAAAGGUCAACUGAUACUGCAGGGCUAGAGUGCAGAAGGGGCAACUGGAAUUCUCGGUGUAGCGGUGAAAUGCGUAGAUAUCGAGAGGAACACCUGCGGCGAAGGCGGGUUGCUGGGCUGAUACUGACGCUGAGGCGCGAAAGCCAGGGGAGCGAACGGG
rnacentral:rRNA from 1 species